GGGAUAAUUAAAUGGGGUAGUGCGUUUCGUAAAAUAUUGUUCAAACCGUAUCCACUAUACAUAUUAGACUGUAUGCCUGUGGCUGCCAAGGGCAUAUCACUCUCCAUUGUUCGGAUGGUUUUAUUCAUGCCUGAAUGCACACUGAAGGCACGGUUGUAUGCGUUUUUUUGACCACCUGUGUUGACUGACAAAUACAAAAAUGGAAUUCCUGUAAAUUAAUAUACUCGGUACAGAUGUAAACACUGAUUGUCAUUGCUGGCCAGUAAACGGACACGGUAUCAUAAUGGAUAAAAAGGACGCCAAGGGUCAAAGGAACAGUUUCCUGGACAAAGUCGGAGGCACGUUUCGUAUUGGUGGUAAAGACCGCAGUAAAAAAGGGCCAGUCCCUCCGAAACCUUACAUUGAGGACCCGGGCAGCAAUGGCGCCACCACUGAGGGACAGGAGUAUGUUAACUCGUUGUCGGAAGCGGAAAUUGCGGAAAAGUUUGAAAAGAUGCUGGACGACAUGAACCUGACAGAGGAGAAGAAGGCACCACUCAGAACACGAGACUUCUCAUUCAAGAAAUCCAUGCUCAGCAUGCACAUCAAGGGAGCAGGCAAGCCACGCAGAGGAGAGCUGGAUGGUCCGGAAGCAUUUGUGAUGGAGUUGGCGAAUGCCGACUUAAAGGGAGAUAAGCGGUUGCGAAUUCUCGAGUCGCUGCGAGUCUCUCUCACCAGCAACCCUGUCAGCUGGUUGCAGGAGUUUGGAGAACGAGGGCUAAAUGGAAUUCUCAGAAAUCUGACAUACUGUUGUGAUCUGAAAGCAGAACGAAGAAGCACCUAUGAAUGUGUUCGAUGUCUCAAGGCGUACAUGAACAACAAGUUUGGCUUGAUGCAAAUCUUGAACCACGAAGAAGCGCUAACAAUCCUCUCACGAACCAUAGACCCAGCUGACCCCCCCACGAUGCUCGAAGCCGUGCGGCUGUUGGCUGCGGUGUGUUUGGUUCCUCCGAAUGGUCACGAUAGGGUGUUGGAGGGAAUCACAGUGUGUAGUGAGAUACGCAAUCAAGAGAGAUUUAUUCCCAUCAUCAUGGGUCUCGGAAUGAGAGACAAUCUCCCCAUGCAGGUGGCCUGUAUUCAGUUAGUGAACGCUAUCAUCAGUACACCCGAUGACCUGGACUUCCGAAUGCAUCUGAGGAAUGAAAUAAUGAGAACAGGCUUAAUAGAUCUUAUAUCAACUCUAGACGUUCAGGGAGACGACGAGUUGAGAACUCACAUCAACAUCUUCCACGAACACAAAGAAGAAGACUUUGAAGAGUUUUCACACAGAUACGACAAUGUGCGCAUGGAACUAGAAGAACCUAGUUCAUGUUUUAACUUGGUUCAAUCAUCGGUCAAAGACACGAUAGCCGAACCCUACUUCCUGUCAAUUCUCCAACAUUUACUCUGCAUUCGAGAUGAUUUAUAUUCCAGACCUCAGUAUUACAAGUUGAUAGAAGAAUGUGUGACACAGAUUGUCCUGCACCGGAGUGGGGUGGAUCCCGACUUCAGAUAUACCAAGAGGUUUGAAAUCGAUGUGGAUCCGUUGCUCAGUAACUUGACAGAGAAGUCAAAGUUUGAAGACUCGGAAGUGAGCAUGGUGGAGAUGAACGCAAAACUUGAGGCAGCACUUACCGCGAAGCAGGAGUCUGAAGCCCGGGCUGUGGGCCUCGACGAGAAGGUCAAACUGUAUGAAUCUGAGCUGAACCAGCUCAAGGGAAAUAUUAAAGAGGGAAUACAACAGGUUGUGAGCAGUGCUAUAAGUAAAGGCGGAGCACCCCCAGGAAGUGGAGUACCCCCACCACCACCUCCACCACCACCACUGCCUGGAGGUGGACCCCCUCCUCCACCACCCCCUCCACCACUCCCUGGUGGAGGACCACCACCUCCCCCUCCACCUCCACCACCACCAGGAGGAGGACCACCACCACCCCCUCCCCCUCCUGGCAUGGGUCCUCCUCGCCCUCCGGGAAUGAGUCCCCUUGGUGUGCCAUCUCCCCCGACAAAUGUCCUGCCUUUUGGGAUGACUGCUAAGAAGAAGUAUUCCACAAAUACGGCCACGAAGAGACUCAACUGGACGAAGGUGAACGUGAAAGACCUCGACAAAGACUCUGUGUGGGUGAACACCUCGGAGGACAUGUUUGAGAGUGACGACCUCUUUAAAGAACUCGAAGAGAACUUUGCAACGAAAGCAGCACCUAAAGUGAACACAGAUGACAACAUGCCUGUCAAGACAAAGAGAAAAAUUAAAGAAUUUAGGGUUUUAGAUGCUAAAGCUGGCCAAAACCUUUCCAUUUUGCUUGGGUCUGUGAAAGUUCCAUAUAAGGAAAUAAAGAGGCGGAUACUUGAGUUUGAUGAAGAAAACCUACCAAGUGGUUUCCUGGAACAGCUGAUAAAAUACAUGCCGACGCCGGAGGAAAUCAACAAGCUGGCCAGUCUCAAGGACGACUAUAAUGAUCUGGCGGAACCAGAACAGUUCUGUGUCGUGAUGUCCUCUAUCAAACGAAUCACUCCUCGACUGAAUUCCAUGUUGUUUAAAAUGAGAUUUCCAGAGUUAGUUGCCGACAUUAGGCCGGAUUUGGUGGCGGCCACUGAAGCGUGUGAGGAGGUGAAGAACAGUAAGAAGUUCAAGAAGAUUCUGGAGUUGAUUCUGCUGAUGGGAAACUACCUCAACGCGGGUUCCAGGAACGCCCAGUCCAUCGGCUUCGAUAUUAGCUUCCUCACUAAAUUGAGUAACACAAAGACUCGGGAUGGUAAGCUGACGAUGCUUCAUUUUCUGGCGAAGACGAUUGAGAAGAAGUAUCCCGAGUUGUUGGGCUUCAUGGAUGAGAUAACUCACGCAGACAGAGCCGCCAGAGUGUCGGAUGAAGUUCUACAAAAGAAUCUGAAGCAGAUGGAGAAACAACUCAAUCAGCUGGACAUCGACCUGAAGAAUAUCAGUAAGAUGACCUUGGAGGAAGGUGACAGAUUUCCAGACGUCAUGAAUGUAUUUCUGGCCACUGCAAGAGAACAGUACGAAGUUCUAAACACAAUGUACAAAAAACUGGAAUCUCUUUUCCUCGGACUGGCCAAAUAUCUGACCUUUGAUCCCAAGAAGUAUGCAAUUGAGGAACUAUUUAGUGAUAUCAAAACAUUCAAGGAUGGAUUAGCGCAAUGUGUUAAAGACAACCAGAAAAUGCAAGAAACAGAAGAUCGUAUCCGUCGAGCUAAAGAAGCGAAAGAAAAGGCUGAGAGAGAGAAGAAGGAGAAGAAAGCAAGACAGGUGGCGAUACUGGACAUGACAACAGAUGAUAACCAAGAGGGUGUGAUGGACAACCUUCUGGAGGCACUCAAGACGGGUUCGGCGUUCAGCGUGAACCGCGAGAAACGAGACGGCAAGAGACGCACUCCCCGUGCAGCUGGAGAUUCCAAAAAAACUUCACGUUCAUCGGAAAGGCGAGCACAGCUUGCCCGGUCACGGUCCAGACAGAAUCUCCUACAAAACCUAGAUUCCUCGACGGUGCGUGAAAUAAAUUUCAAUGACUCACAAAUGGAUUCGUCUGACCGAGACCAGCAGUCCAAUAACAACAGUGCCAAACCAAGACGGCGACAGAAAACUGAACAAGAAACUGAGGCCGAGAAACUGCUGGCUCGAUUAAAAGAGUUGUGACAUUUAUAUACAUGUUAUAUAUUCAUAGUGCAGAACAAGACUUAUAUUCUUCUACAGCGUGAUAUCAUAUGCAGCAUUCUCAAAGCUUCAUUCCACUGUUGUAAACACGCAUAUAGAUUAAAAGUGGCAUUAUUCAGAGCUGGCAUCACACUAUAACAUCACAUACAUGUAGAUCCUGCAUUGUCCAGUUUGAACUAAUAAUGCAACUUACAGAUAGCAGUCUAGUCCUGUUAGGAGCCAACAGACUGCAUCAUUCAGACACUUUAUGUUUUAGAUAGCGACAGUAAGAGGCAAUACUGCAGAAUGUACAGAUCAAUGCUCUGGUUUAACACUGAAACAUUUACACCCUGAAAGUAUGGACGGACAGACUUCAUCAUUCAGACACUUUAUGUUUUAGAUAGCGACAGUAAGAGGCAAUACUGCAGAAUGUACAGAUCAAUGCUCUGGUUGAACACUGAAACAUUUACACCCUGAAAGUAUGGACGGACAGACUUCAUCAUUCAGACACUUUAUGUUUUAGAUAGCGACAGUAAGAGGCAAUACUGCAGAAUGUACAGAUCAAUGCUCUGGUUUAACACUGAAACAUUUACACCCUGAAAGUAUGGACGGACAGACUUCAUCAUUCAGACACUUUAUGUUUUAGAUAGCGACAGUAAGAGGCAAUACUGCAGAAUGUACAGAUCAAUGCUCUGGUUUAACAUAACAUUUACACACUGAGAGUACGGGUGCAUCUGUACUUCAGUAUUCAGACCUUGACAGUAUGGACGAACAGACUGCAUCAUUCAGACAUUUUGUGUUUUAGAUAGCGACAGUAAGGGGCAAUACUGCAGAAUGUACAGAUCAAUGCUCUGGUUUAACAUCUAUACUUUAGCAUUCAGACAUUGACAGUAUGGACGGACAGACUUCAUCAUUCAGAUACUUUUAUGUUUUUGAUACCGACAGUAAGGGGCAAUACUGCAGAAUGUACAGAUUAAUGCUCUGGUUUAACACUGAAACAUUUACAGACUGAGAGUAUGGACGGACAGACUUCAUCAUUCAGACACUUUGUUUUAGAUGGCGACAGUAUGGGGCAAUACUGCAGAAUGUACAGAUCAAUGCUAUGGUUUAACACAGUAACAUUUACACACUGAGAUGGAUGCAUCCAUACUUAAGCAUUCAGACAUUGGCAGUAUGGAUGGACAGACUUCAUCCUUCAGAGUCGUGUUAUGUGAACUUCAUUCAGACACUGACAGUAGUGACGGACAAACUUCAUCAUUCAGAAUCAUACUGUGUGGACUUUAUUCAGACAUUGGCAGUAUGGACUUAACAUUUAGGCAUUGACAGUAUGAACUGACAGACUGUCAUUCAUUCAUUGACAGUAUGAAAUUCAUCCUUCUGACAUUGACAAUAUGGACUCCCACUUUUACAAUGUUAACUACAUAUGUAUGUUUGUAUUGAUAUAUUAAUAAUAUUGGAUCAUCAAGACACUGAUUGUGUGGACUUCAUUCAGGCAUUGACAGUAUGGCUGUAUCAUUCAAAUAUUGACAAUAUGAACUGAGAGACUGACAUUCAUUCAUUAACAGUAUGGAAUUUAUAAUUCAGACAUUGACAGUAUAGAAUUUAUAAUUCAGACAUUGACAGUAUGGAAUUUAUAAUUCAGACAUUGGCAGUAUGGACUCCCACUUUUAUGACAUAAACAGUGUAUGUACUGAUAGACUUGAUCAUCCAGACACUGAUAGUGUGACUUCAUUCAGACAUUGACAGUUUGGCUGUAUCAAUCAGAUAUUGACUGUAUGGACUUAACAUUCAGACAUUGACAGUAUAUUGAAUUGAUCCUUCUGACAUUGACAUUAGUGGUGAUAAUGGACUGAUAGACAUUAGUAGUGGUAAUGGACUGACAGACAUUAAUAGUGAUGAUGGACUGACAUAUGUUAGUAGUGAUAAUGGACUGACAGACAUUAGUGGUGAUAAUGGACUGACAGACAUUAGUAGUGAUAAUGGACUGACAGACCGCCAGUUGGUCACUGGCAGUGUUGAUCAACAGGUGGUGUUAUUCAGAUACUGAUAUUCAGUGUGAGCCAGUAGACUUUCGUCCUGAGAUACUGGCAUUGUAGGCUGGCAGUACUGCACGAUUAAGACAUUGCAAGUGUAGGCCCACAGUACUGCAUCAUUCAGUGUGAGUCAGUUGUACUACAUCAUUCAGACUGGCUAAUGUUGGUGUCGGCCAAGGGCACUGCUUUAUUGCUGUCAGCUUGAUGCAGAACUGUUUUAUCUUUGUCUAUCAUUCAUGCUGUAGUACGACCACAACCAAGCUUAUUUCUCUUUGGAUAUUGUUAGAUAACUGUUUAGAGAUUGAUAGCAGAAUUCAUUUGUGAACAGAAGAAGUUCCAAACAGGAAUGUUUUUGUCACUGUUGAGUACAUACUGGAUUUACUUCUGUGUUACAAAAAUAUUGGACCAAAGUAUUUUCAUAACAGCUUACAGCUUGAGUUACUUUUAGAUACAGUUUUCUACACAGCAAAAAAAAAAAAGACAAAAAAAAAAAUAUAUAUGUUAUUCAAAAGUCUUAUUGGUGAGAAAAUGUGGAUAUUUUUGUACGUUUAAACAUUUGUUACCAAAUGUAACUAGGACAUUUAUAAAUUAGUAUAUUUAUAUUUGCCAGGUUAUUUUUGGAUGUUGCAUUGUUAUUUACCACCAUGUUAUCACAUCAAGCUGUGUGGUGUGUAUAUUCCAGUUAAUGAUUCUCAGUUUAUAUGUAUUUUAUACAUAGCUGAAUACAUCAUAGAUGUAAUACAUCUCGCAUCAUAUCUGUAUAUUAAUAUAUUGAAUUGUAUAUAUUGGCUUGUCUGUGCAUAUUGCUCAUAUCUUAAGUCUUUACGUCCACGGCCACCUUCCCUGUGUAAUAUAUUGCUGUACAGUUUUGUAUAUGGCGCCGGACUUCAUGUAGUGGUCAUAUUGUGAACAUUAUAUAUUCGCUGGAAAAUACUUUUUUGUUUUCAGCGUUUGAAUAACUUCCUGUGAUAUGGUUAUCAGCUGCUUUAUUAUUAAAAUAUGUACGUACACUAGAUUCAUAUUCAAGAAAGAAUGGAAUUUCCUUAGGUUUUUUUUUUUAAAAAUAAUUUCUACACCGGUUUAUACAUGUGUGUAGAUGUAUUGAUAUAUAAACAGGUUUUGCAGGUAGGUGUAAUUUAUUGUAACAUUAUGAGCCUGUUUGUUUGGUCAUUAGUUAUCUAAACUUGCUGUGUAAUUUAGUGGCAAGUGUUCUUUUCAUUAUAUUCAGAAUGGUUUUUUAGACUGUCAAGCAUGAAAAUAAUAGUUCUGGGGCCUAAUUCACUAAACUCUUGUAACUUUGCAAUCUUGCAGUGCAGUGCUGAAGACCUGCAAAGAGGAUGCUUUGUUGUCUAGCAGAGCCUAAGAGACCUUUGUGAAUUAGGCUCUUGAUGUUGAUUUUGCCACUAAAAAAAUAAAUCUUCAUUUGGCCUCAUUUUAAACACAUAGGGUCAAAUUUACAGUCUUUUUUAUGUCUGACAUACUGUUUAUGUGUAACUUCAUACAUCUGCAAUUUUUUUAAACACCUGCGUUUAAGAAAACAGGCUUUGUGAAUUCGUCCCAUAUAUAUUUGGAUUAGAUUCUAAAAAUUCUAAAUUGUCCAAUUAAAUAACUACCUCCUGUCCCGAGUCAGGCCCUGAUCAUAUCAGAGACAUUACUCGUAAGAGGUGUGUUCGAAACCGUUGCCUAUUACCCAUAUAUAUUUUCUUUUGUAAUACCACUGCCCAUGUUCCUUCCUCGCCUUUGAAUUCCAUGUCAUUUGUUUUUUACUGAUCAUCUGCUAGCUCCUCAUAUCUUUUAAAGUGUUUGGCUGUCCACCUCCACAUCCGUGUCCUUGUCUCUUCAGCCACAGCAGAUGUUUGACUUUUAUGGCCAUCCAUUCCACAUACCUUCCAUCUCAAUCAACUCAGUCAUGGUUUACUCUGACUACCUUGGAGAGUGUUUAGUGGUCGUUUCUCUCAUCAUGAGGUCCAUUGAAUCGCCUAAACAAAAAAAAAUCCCAAUUUGGUUGGUAAUGGUACUCUAUGGUCUAUGCUUGACCAAGUCCUAUCACAUUGGUAGAGUGGAUGUGAACACCAUAGUGGACGGCAAAUACUAAUAUUCUUAUACUGGUACAUUGAUAUAAACAUAUCUAGCAGAAAUACAUUUUGUUUACCUAAUGGACUUCCACAAAACAUGUAUUAUUCAACCCAUGUGCUAACUUGAUCACUAGAUCUGAGGUUGACCAUAGGCCGUGUGCUAUCUUUAUAUUGGUCGCAAGUUCUGAGGUUGACCAUUGGCCAUGUGCCAUUCUGAUAUUGACCACUAGUUUUAAGGUUUACCAUGUGCUAUCUUUGUUGGUCGCUAGUUCAGAGGUUGACCACUGACUAUGGGCUAUCUUGAUAUUGAUCACGAGUUCUAAGGUUGACCAUUGACUAUGUGAUAUAUUGAUCACUAGUUCUGAGGUUACCAUUGACCAUGUGCUAUCUUUAUAUUGGUCACUAGUUCUGAGGUUAACCAUUGAAAAUAUGCUAUCUUGAUAUUAGUCGCAAAUCCUGAGGUUGUUAAGUCCUGAAAUGACUUUGUGUUAUGUUAACGAUAGUCUUUAGUACUAUAUUUACUAUUUGCUAUAUUUGCUAUGUUGUAAUACUUAGGCUAACUGUAAGCUUUGACCAUGGUAAUAUUAUGCUUCCAAGAUUAUCAAAAGAAAAACAAAUAUUGGCUAGUCUCUUCAUUUUGUGCAUGAGCUUUUAUCAUUUAUCUUAGUGGUAAGGUAUUAUAUGCAGUUCGUGGCAUGAAUUUUAUUUUAUUUUAUUUUAUUUUAUUUUAAUGAAAUAAAUAUGUAUCAUUUAUCAGUACCACAAUUUCUAAGUCGUGUGUGUGUCUUACAAGCUUUGUUUAAAUAUAGACUGGUAUUAAGAGGGUUCCAUAUUUACUUAGGUUACAGAAAGAGGUUCCAUAUUUACUUAGAUUACAGAGAGGGGGAAAAGCGUGUACGUAUGCAUGUAUGUAUGUAUGUAUGUAUGUAUGUAUGUAUGUGCGUUCGUGCGGGUGUGCGCGUGUGUGAAACUGCCUCACUAUUCUAUUCGUACCUUUUCUAAUAUAUUAUUUAAUCGCCAUGUCGGACCAGACGCGUGAAGUCAGAUAGAAACCGCUAGUUUCACUCAAUUUACGUUUUGUGAUAUCGCUAGCCGAUGGUGUAGGGGUGUGCCUUUCUGUGAAAGCAGCCAUUUUCCUGGUGAAAAUCUGCUCUUAACGGGUGAAAGGAUCACGACUUUUCGCCAGUGUGAUUUUACUGUAGUCGGCUCUUUUUUCAUAUCGCAAGCUUAUAACUCUUGUAUAAAAACUGUCUAUUUCCUAUGAUGAAAUAAAACAUGUAGGAAUGUA
rnacentral:misc_RNA from 1 species